rnacentral:rRNA from 1 species
AUUGAACGCUGGCGGCAGGCCUAACACAUGCAAGUCGAGCGGUUGACGGGAGCUUGCUCCCUGAUUCAGCGGCGGACGGGUGAGUAAUGCCUAGGAAUCUGCCUAUUAGUGGGGGACAACGUUUCGAAAGGAACGCUAAUACCGCAUACGUCCUACGGGAGAAAGCAGGGGACCUUCGGGCCUUGCGCUAAUAGAUGAGCCUAGGUCGGAUUAGCUUGUUUGUGAGGUAAUGGCUCACCAAGGCGACGAUCCGUAACUGGUCUGAGAGGAUGAUCAGUCACACUGGAACUGAGACACGGUCCAGACUCCUACGGGAGGCAGCAGUGGGGAAUAUUGGACAAUGGGCGAAAGCCUGAUCCAGCCAUGCCGCGUGUGUGAAGAAGGUCUUCGGAUUGUAAAGCACUUUAAGUUGGGAGGAAGGGCUGUAGAUUAAUACUCUGCAAUUUUGACGUUACCGACAGAAUAAGCACCGGCUAACUCUGUGCCAGCCGCCGCUGUAACAC